rnacentral:rRNA from 1 species
ACAGCAGCAGCCACGGGAAUACGUAGGUGGCAAGCGUUGUCCGGAAUUAUUGGGCGUAAAGGGCUCGCAGGCGGUUUCUUAAGUCUGAUGUGAAAGCCCCCGGCUCAACCGGGGAGGGUCAUUGGAAACUGGGAAACUUGAGUGCAGAAGAGGAGAGUGGAAUUCCACGUGUAGCGGUGAAAUGCGUAGAGAUGUGGAGGAACACCAGUGGCGAAGGCGACUCUCUGGUCUGUAACUGACGCUGAGGAGCGAAAGCGUGGGGAGCGAACAGGAUUAGAUACCCCCGUAGUCCCUGUCUCUUAUAC